UAAUCAUCAAAGAGAUUUCUCUCUUCUGCUA
rnacentral:piRNA from 1 species